rnacentral:rRNA from 1 species
GUGCCAGCAGCCGCGGUAAUACAGAGGGUGCAAGCGUUGUUCGGAAUUACUGGGCGUAAAGCGCGUGUAGGCGGCGGCGUAAGUCGGUGGUGAAAUCCCUCAGCUCAACUGAGGAAGUGCCCUCGAUACUGCGUCGCUUGAAUGUCGGAGGGGAUGGCGGAAUUCCCGGUGUAGAGGUGAAAUUCGUAGAUAUCGGGAGGAACACCUGUGGCGAAGGCGGCCAUCUGGACGACAAUUGACGCUGAGACGCGAAAGCGUGGGUAGCAAACAGGAUUAGAUACCCUGGUAGUCC